rnacentral:rRNA from 1 species
GAUGAACGCUGGCGGCGUGCCUAAUACAUGCAAGUCGAGCGAACAGACGAGGAGCUUGCUCCUCUGACGUUAGCGGCGGACGGGUGAGUAACACGUGGAUAACCUACCUAUAAGACUGGGAUAACUUCGGGAAACCGGAGCUAAUACCGGAUAACAUGUUGAACCGCAUGGUUCAACAGUGAAAGACGGUCUUGCUGUCACUUAUAGAUGGAUCCGCGCCGCAUUAGCUAGUUGGUAAGGUAACGGCUUACCAAGGAAACGAUGCGUAGCCGACCUGAGAGGGUGAUCGGCCACACUGGAACUGAGACACGGUCCAGACUCCUACGGGAGGCAGCAGUAGGGAAUCUUCCGCAAUGGGCGAAAGCCUGACGGAGCAACGCCGCGUGAGUGAAGAAGGUCUUCGGAUCGUAAAACUCUGUUAUUAGGGAAGAACAAAUGUGUAAGUAACUAUGCACGUCUUGACGGUACCUAAUCAGAAAGCCACGGCUAACUACGUG